UACGUAGGGUGCGAGCGUUAAUCGGAAUUACUGGGCGUAAAGCGUGCGCAGGCGGUUUUGUAAGUCAGAUGUGAAAUCCCCGGGCUCAACCUGGGAAUGGCCGUUGAAACUGGCGAACUGGAGUGUGGCAGAGGGGGGUGGAAUUCCGCGUGUAGCAGUGAAAUGCGUAGAUAUGCGGAGGAACACCGAUGGCGAAGGCAAUCCCCUGGGCCUGCACUGACGCUCAUGCACGAAAGCGUGGGGAGCAAACAGG
rnacentral:rRNA from 1 species